GAUGAACGCUGGCGGCGUGCCUAAUACGUGCGAGUCGAGCGAACGGACGAGAAGCUUGCUUCUCUGAUGUUAGCGGCGGACGGGUGAGUAACACGUGGAUAACCUACCUAUAAGACUGGGAUAACUUCGGGAAACCGGAGCUAAUACCGGAUAAUAUUUUGAACCGCAUGGUUCAAAAGUAAAAGACGGUCUUGCUGUCACUUAUAGAUGGAUCCGCGCUGCAUUAGCUAGUUGGUAAGGUAACGGCUUACCAAGGCAACGAUGCAUAGCCGACCUGAGAGGGUGAUCGGCCACACUGGAACUGAGACACGGUCCAGACUCCUACGGGAGGCAGCAGUAGGGAAUCUUCCGCAAUGGGCGAAAGCCUGACGGAGCAACGCCGCGUGAGUGAUGAAGGUCUUCGGAUCGUAAAACUCUGUUAUUAGGGAAGAACAUAUGUGUAAGUAACUGUGCACAUCUUGACGGUACCUAAUCAGAAAGCCACGGCUAACUACGUG
rnacentral:rRNA from 1 species